AUGGAAGAUUGGCAUCAAUGCUCCUACUUUCUCCGUAGAUUCCUCAGAGGUUGGUCUAAUAAUCACUAUGCUGAGUCUAGGCGGGACAAGGCUAGUUUGGCCGCUCAAAUUGCGGUACUUGAUGCUCGUGCGGAUAAUCUAGGCCUUUCCGCGGCUCAAUGGCAGUCUCGGUAUGGACUCAAAGAGGCUUUGUUGGGUAUUCAUCAUCAGGAGGAGGUGUAUUGGAAACAAAGAGGCACUAUUAACUGGACCUUAAAGGGCGACUCGCCCACGGCCUACUUCUUUGCCAUCGCAAACGGCAGACGGUGGAGAUGCCUGAUCGACAGUCUCAUGGUUGAGGGCGUCAGGAUCUCGGAUCAAUCGGUGAUCAUGUGGCAUGUGGUUCACUUCUACUCUACCCUCCUUUCUGCUAAACCAGACUUGGGGUUUAGGUUGGUGUCGUCCUUCUGGUCGUCCCUCGAACAGGUCUCGAGCGAUGAAAACAAAAGUCUGUUGAUCCCCCCGUCUGAAAAGGAGAUUUUCGAUGCGAUUCGAUAUGCCAAUCCCAAUGCGGCCUCUGGGCCUGAUGGUUUUUCCAUCCCCUUCUUUAGACAAUUUUGGCCUCAGUUAAAAGGCCUCAUCUUGGCUAUUAUUCAAGGUUUUUGGUUGGGAACUGUUGACAUUUCUAGACUGAAUUACGCGGUGCUUACUCUCAUCCCUAAGAUCAAAGGUGCUGACUUGAUCUCCCAAUUUAGGCCCAUUGCUCUAAUCAAUAACUUCGUGAAGAUUCCGGCUAAGGGUCUGGCCACUAGGGUUUCUCCGAUCGCUCACCGUGUCAUUAGUCCUUCCCAAUCCGCUUUUAUAAAGGGGAGAUUCAUACUGGAUGGGGUUCUUUGCUUGCAUGAGAUUGUUCAUGACUUGCGGACCAAGGGCACUCGGGCUGUAGUUCUUAAACUUGACUCUGAAAAGGCCUACGAUUCGGUGAGCUGGAAUUUCCUCCGUCAGGUUCUUCUUGCUAAGGGUUUCGAGGGUGCGGUGGUCCAUCAUUUUAUGCAGCUUGUUACGGGUGCGCACAUGGCUGUGGUGGUUAAUGGUCAUACUAGUAACUUCUCUGCUAAUGGUAGGGGCCUAAGGCAAGGAGAUCCGGCGUCCCCUCUGCUUUUUAACUUCAUUGUGGAUGCCCUGUCUCAUAUCCUUUCUCGGGCACAUUUUGCCUGCUAG
rnacentral:rRNA from 1 species